rnacentral:rRNA from 1 species
GUCUCUUUGAGAAUUAUUAAUAGAGAGUUGGGCCUGCUCGGUGAGAAGAAAAUUUAACAGCUGCGGUAUUAUAACUGUACUAAGGUAGCAUAAUAAUUUGCCUUAUAAAUUAAGGCUAGAAUGAAUGGUUUGACGAAAAUUAAGCUGUCUUUAUUUUAUUUAUUAGAAAUUAAUUUUUAUAGUGAAAAAGCUUGAAUGAUUUAAAGGGACGAGAAGACCCUAUUGAGCUUAAUUAUUAAUUAUUAAAUAUAAAUUAAAGUUUUAAAAGUUAAUUUAUUUUAAAUGUAUUUAAUUAAAUUAGUUUUGGUUGGGGUGAUCAAGGAAUAAGAAAAAUUAUAAUAACUUCCUUAAAAUUUUAUUUUUUUAGAAUAAUAAACCAAGUUUUUUGCUUAUAAGAUAAGUUACCAUAGGGGUAACAGCGUAAUUUUUUUUGAGAGUUCAUAUUGAAAAAAGAGAUUGCGACCUCGAUGUUGGAUUAAAAAUUACCUUAAGGUGUAGAGGCUUUAUUAGGUGAAUCUGUUCGAUUUUUAAAAUUUU